AAAAAAUCAAACCGUGGGUUUCCGUGCCAAAUUUUGACUUUCCGUUUUAUAUGAACAUUUUUUAUAAUUAGUAUUUUCAUUGUUGUUAGAUGAUAAAACAUGAUUAAUACUUUAUAUGUGACUUAUUUUUUUUAAUUUUUUUCAUAAUUUUUUUAAAUAAGAUGGACGGUCAGACGUUGGCACGGAAAUCUACGGUUUGCAUUUUUU
rfam:Oryza rufipogon genomic scaffold, chr07